rnacentral:rRNA from 1 species
GCUACUGCCAUCAGAGUUCGAUUAGGCCAUGUUAGUCGAGGGUACCUCUUCUUCUUCGGAGGAUGAGGUAACCCGGCGGACGGCUCAGUAACACGUGGAUAACUUGCCCUUGGGUCUGGGAUAACCCCUGGGAAACUGGGGCUAAUACCGGAUAGAGCAUCGAUCGCUGGAAUGCAUAAUGCUCGAAAACUACGGUGCCCAAGGAUAGGUCUGCGGCUGAUUAGGUUGUUGUUGAUGUAAUGGACCAACAAGCCUACGAUCGGUACGGGUUGUGAGAGCAAUAGCCCGGAGAUGGGUUCUGAGAAAAGAACCCAGGUCCUACGGGACGCAUCAGGCGCGAAAACUUUACAAUGUGCGAAAGCACGAUAAGGGAACUCUGAGUGCCCCCUAAGGGGGCUGUUCUAGUGUCUAAAAAGCAAUAGAAGUAAGGGCUGGGCAAGACCGGUGCCAGCCGCCGCGGUAACACCGGCAGCCCAAGUGGUAGCCACGUUUAUUGGGUCUAAAGCGUUCGUAGCCGGCUUGGUAAGUUCCUUGGUAAAUUUAGCCGCUUAACGGUUAAGCUUUCAGGGAAUACUGCUUGGCUUGGGACUGGGAGAGGUCAGAGGUACUCCAGGGGUAGGGGUGAAAUCCAUUAAUCCUUGGGGGACCACCGGUAGCGAAGGCGUCUGACCAGACCAGCUCCGACGGUGAGGGACGAAAGGCUAGGGGCGCGAACCGGAUUAGAUACCCGGGUAGUCCUAGCUGUAAACGAUGCGGGCUAGGUGUUGGCAUUACUGCGAGUGGUGCCAGUGCCGAAGGGAAGCCGUUAAGCUCGCCUUCUGGGGA